AACCUAGCACACCUGCGGUGUGUACCUGCGGAAGGAUCAUUACAGAGUUGCAAGACUCCCUAAACCAUUGUGAACCUACCUUCUACCGUUGCUUCGGCGGGCGGGCCCAGCGCCCCCCCGGCCCCCCGCGGGCGCCCGCCGGAGGAUACCCAAACUCUUGACAUUAGUGGCCUCUCUGAGUAUUCUUUACUGAAUAAGUCAAAACUUUUAGCAACGGAUCU
rnacentral:misc_RNA from 1 species